rnacentral:rRNA from 1 species
UACAUGGGGUGCAAACGUUGCUCGGAAUUAUUGGGCGUAAAGCGCACGUAGGCGGUUUGUUAAGUCGGAUGUGAAAUCCCUCGGCUCAACUGAGGAAGUGCACCCCGAAACUGGCAGGCUUGAGUACUAAAGAGGGUCGCGGAAUUCCCGGUGUAGAGGUGAAAUUCGUAGAUAUCGGGAGGAACACCGGUGGCGAAGGCGGCGACCUGGGUAGAUACUGACGCUGAGGUGCGAAAGCGUGGGGAGCAA